rnacentral:rRNA from 1 species
AUUGAACGCUGGCGGCAGGCUUAACACAUGCAAGUCGAGCGGGGUGAUGGUGCUUGCACUAUCACUUAGCGGCGGACGGGUGAGUAAUGCUUAGGAAUCUGCCUAUCAGUGGGGGACAACAUUUCGAAAGGAAUGCUAAUACCGCAUACGUCCUACGGGAGAAAGCAGGGGAUCUUCGGACCUUGAGCUAAGAGAUGAGCCUAAGUCGGAUUAGCUAGUGGGUGGGGUAAAGGCCUUCCAAGGCGACGAUCUGUAGCGUGUCUGAGAGGAUGAUCCGCCACACUGGGACUGAGACACGGCCCUGACUCCUACGGGAGGCAGCAGUGGGGAAUAUUGGACAAUGGGCGGAAGCCUGAUCCAGCCAUGCCGCGUGUGUGAAGAAGGCCUUAUGGUUGUAAAGCACUUUAAGCGAGGAGGAGGCUACUUUAGUUAAUACCUAGAGAUAGUGGACGUUACUCGCAGAAUAAGCACCGGCUAACUCUGUGCCAGCAGCCGCCGUAACAC